GACGAACGCUGGCGGCGUGCCUAAUACAUGCAAGUUGAGCGAUGAAGAUUGGUGCUUGCACCAAUUUGAAGAGCAGCGAACGGGUGAGUAACGCGUGGGGAAUCUGCCUUUGAGCGGGGGACAACAUUUGGAAACGAAUGCUAAUACCGCAUAACAACUUUAAACAUAAGUUUUAAGUUUGAAAGAUGCAAUUGCAUCACUCAAAGAUGAUCCCGCGUUGUAUUAGCUAGUUGGUGAGGUAAAGGCUCACCAAGGCGAUGAUACAUAGCCGACCUGAGAGGGUGAUCGGCCACAUUGGGACUGAGACACGGCCCAAACUCCUACGGGAGGCAGCAGUAGGGAAUCUUCGGCAAUGGACGAAAGUCUGACCGAGCAACGCCGCGUGAGUGAAGAAGGUUUUCGGAUCGUAAAACUCGGUUGGAAGAGAAGAACGUUGGUGAGAGUGGAAAGCUCAUCAAGUGACGGUAACUACCCAGAAAGGGACGGCUAACUACGUG
rnacentral:rRNA from 1 species